rnacentral:misc_RNA from 1 species
GUUGAAGAACGUAGCGAAAUGCGAUAAGUAAUGUGAAUUGCAGAAUUCAGUGAAUCAUCGAAUCUUUGAACGCACAUUGCGCCCGCCAGUAUUCUGGCGGGCAUGCCUGUCCGAGCGUCAUUUCAACCAUCAAGCCCCCGGGCUUGUGUUGGGGACCUGCGGCUGCCCGCAGGCCCUGAAAACCAGUGGCGGGCUCGCUGUCACACCGAGCGUAGUAGCAAUCACCUCGCUCAGGGCGUGCUGCGGGUUCCGGCCGUUAAACAGCCUUACAAAACCCAAGGUUGACCUCGGAUCAGGUAGGAAGACCCGCUGAACUUAAGCAUAUCAAUAAGCGGAGGA